GAGGCAGGGUAUAGCUCAUUGGUAGAGCAUUCGACUGCAGAUCGAGAGAGGUCCCCGGUUCAAACCCGGUGCCCCUUCU